AGUACAGGUAUGAAGAUAUAAAUUGGUGUGAAUAUACUGUGUAUACAACCAGAGAUAUGAAAAACUGCUCUAUAUGUGUACGAAGAAUUUUAAUGAUUCCACUGUCAUACAUAAAUAAAAAAAUAGUAAUAAUUAAUUAAUUUUAAAAAUGACCCUGGUAGCCCCCUUAUUACUCUUUUAAUUUGCUUAAAAGUCAGCCAAAAUACUCUGCCAGCACAAAUCUGAACUGACAAAAUGCUUAGUGGUUGUAGGAUUGUCUAGGAGCAGGUUUGACUCUAAUGUAAACAGAAUAAGAAAAAAAUUCUGAUCCUCUAACUGCUUGAAUAUGGAUUUCAAGAUGUCUCCAAGUAGAAUGGAAGCUAUCCUGACUAAAACCUGGAGCCCCGGAGGAUCCUGAUGACACAGAGCGGCAAACUGUCCUUUUGACUUCAGCCCUGAAGUUAGCUAAGUGCGUCGUCUCCAGUGCACGGCUCAAUCAGUUAACACCGAGUGUCAUCAGUAUGUACAGCAUGUAAGAACUACAGUAUUGAUGCAUUCACUCAGCCGUGGGGAGCGCUGCACAAAAUCACUGAACAUGGCAGGAAUCAUUUAUUUCUGUGAAGGGAAUCAGUCCUAAUCUUGGAAACCUUGCAGCAUUUGGCUUCUGUCUGCUUGACUUUGGGCAUUAACCUUCAGAACACGAACAGGACGGGGUUCUGGCAAAUCCAGGGGAAAAAAAAAAUAUGAGAAUAAAUCUGUCCAAAUGGGAGUGCUUUGUGUUUCCUAAAUGAUCGACCAUGGUGAUGAUAAUGUAAUUAAAGACAUUUAAAAGUUUU